rnacentral:tRNA from 1 species
GCGGCUGUGGUCUAGUCUGGUCUAGGACAGGAGCCCCCCAAGCUCCUGACCCGGGUUCGAAUCCCGGCCGCCGCACCA